rnacentral:rRNA from 1 species
GCCUAUGACCAUGGCACCCUAAACAAGCCUGAUAUCUGAUCUUGGAAGCUAAGCAGGGUCAGCCCUGGUUAGUACUUGGAUAGGAGACCACCUAAGAAGACCAAGUGCUGUAGGCA